rnacentral:lncRNA from 1 species
CUAACAACACUAAACCUUAUGCAUUCUCUUUUAUAUAUUAUUAUGCUCACUCACUCUCGUACUAGCUAGCUACUAUCUCAUUCUCAUCAUUGUUUCCAACAAAAUGAGAAAGCUACUACUAGCAAGUUCUCUUUAUGCAUUCUCUUCAUUUUCUCACAAUCCAACACUAGGAGUACGAGGACUCAAGGGAUUUGACUCUAAUGAUCCAGAUUGUGUUAUGCCAAAGGGAUUAAUCGGUCUUUUGAGAUGGAGAUUUAUUAGAAACUACCAAACUGUU